CCGAAAUUUAAAACUCACAACGCGAGUCUCGUGCGGAAGCAAAUAUGACUGCCGAGACUUUGUGACUCUUCAAGUCUUCCUUUGCUCAAGUCAACCACACUCGUGAAGCACAUGUGACGAGUCUGUGGUGAGCAUCGGGAGCACUGCGUUUCCUUCGGGAUUCACAGUCUAAAAAACGAAUUGUAAAAGUAUAUACUAUUAAAGUAAUAUAUACAAAAAGACGAAAAAAU
rnacentral:misc_RNA from 1 species